rnacentral:rRNA from 1 species
ACGUAGGGUGCGAGCGUUAAUCGGAAUUACUGGGCGUAAAGCGUGCGCAGGCGGUUUUGUAAGCCAGAUGUGAAAUCCCCGGGCUUAACCUGGGAAUGGCAUUUGGGACUGCAAGGCUAGAGUGCGGCAGAGGAGACUGGAAUUCCUGGUGUAGCAGUGAAAUGCGUAGAUAUCAGGAGGAAUACCGAUGGCGAAGGCAGGUCUCUGGGCUGACACUGACGCUCAUGCACGAAAGCGUGGGGAGCAAACAGGAUUAGAUACCCUGGUAGUCCACGCCCUAAACGAUGUCGACUGGUUGUUGGGGGUUUGACACUCUCAGUAACGAAGCUAACGCGUGAAGUCGACCGCCUGGGGAGUACGGCCGCAAGGUUA